GGGUUUAUGGCCUAGUGGUAUGGCGUCUCAUUUGCAUUGUGAAGAUAGACAGCCGCUCUUGAGAAGAUCCUGGGUUCGAUCCCCAGUGGAUCCA